GUGCACAUGAUUCUGUUAAAUACAAAACAAAUCAUAUCCGGCAAGGUUAAAGCCUGCCGUGCAAACUGACCCAUGAAAUCGGUUCGCUUAAACAUCAAAGGUAUUCUGGUGAAGAUAAUUUGGGAAAUAAUACAGAAACUUUGUAUUUAUUUCAGAAUUAUUGGAAAACUGUUGGAAUAGAAAGAUUUUGAGGGAAAUGCCAAAAGCCACACUGAUGAAGAAAAACACUGUUGAGAUACUUUUGAAUAAUAGAUAGGGUAUGGAAUGGUCAACCACAAGAUAAAAUUUUUACACAGUAUUUUUAUGGCUUUAAAUUGGCUGCAUUGUAAACUAAGCUUACUACUCUAUUAAGUCAUUAUACUUUUCAAUUAUUUAACAUUUCUGGCCGAGCUCUCUUCUGUGGCCUUUUUCUAUACACAUCAGAGAUGAUAUGUACAGUAGGAGUAAUUGCUUGUUGCUACUGUGAGGACUUUGCCAUAGAGUAAGGUUUAAUUUUAACUUCUCAUGAGGAAUUCACAGAGGAAAAAGAAUGUUGUGGAAAUAACCGGAGCCCUGUGAAACGGAGGGGAGAGCUCCGGUAUCGAAAUGUACCUAACGCAAUUUGAGUUAUUCUCACUCAGGACCUCUGACAGUAUAUGCCUUCUAGGUACUGUGUGUUUGGAAAUACUAGAUCUCCAUUUAAACGCAGAUCUUCAGUUUUCUCCAGGGAGCAGUUGGUGAAUUUUUCAACUGAACCUCUGGUAUGAGAAAACCAGCUGAAAAUGUCUCCGUGAACAAUAGAAUCUGUCGUUUUGAGAUGGCCAGCGCUUGUCUGAAUAAACAUCUGAGUGGCUUUGGAAACAAAAACAAUGUAUUGGGGCUGGGAACACAGAUCAGCUGCUACCGGGUGUGCAGGACGGGGGAGCAGCUCCACGGCCCACUGCGAGCAGCCCUUUCAGCCCUGAGACUUUCCGAGAUCUCCUGUGCAUGCAGGAAGUUUCCUUCCCUGGCGUCAGAUGUAGCUCUGAGCUGUCGUCUUCAGAUCCGAGGAGCCGGGCUCCCUGCGGCACACGAGAGCGGCUUCCUUGAGACAUUUGUCCUUGAAACUGCACCAAACUCUUGGAAGAGCCUAGAACGCAGAGCUACAACUGAUUGGUUCAUCAGUGAACAGUAUCCAAUUAUGAAGAUGUAAGGAAGACGACCUCCACCGACACUGUCACAGCUUGAAAGGUGAGCUGUUCCCUGCAGGGUUGGGAAGCAGGAAUGUUCCUUAGAAACCCUGCUUACCUGUGCCUUCGCAUGGUAAGAUGCCCCUUGGCGUCUUGCUCCUCUGCCCCGAUUCCUC
rnacentral:lncRNA from 1 species